GCGCUUAUUGCGCGGCGAAAAACCUUACACACAGUGUUUUUUGUUAUUACAAGAACUUUUGCUUUGGUCUGGACUAGAAAUAGUUUGGGCCAGAGGUUUACUGAACUAAACUUCAAUAUUUAUAUUGAAUUGUUAUUUAUUUAUUUGUCAAUUUGUUGAUUAAAUUCAAAAAAUCUUCAAAACUUUCAACAACGGAUCUCUUGGUUCUCGCAUCGAUGAAGAACGCAGCGAAAUGCGAUAAGUAAUAUGAAUUGCAGAUUUUCGUGAAUCAUCGAAUCUUUGAACGCACAUUGCGCCCUCUGGUAUUCCAGAGGGCAUGCCUGUUUGAGCGUCAUUUCUCUCUCAAACCUUCGGGUUUGGUAUUGAGUGAUACUCUUAGUCGAACUAGGCGUUUGCUUGAAAUGUAUUGGCAUGAGUGGUACUGGAUAGUGCUAUAUGACUUUCAAUGUAUUAGGUUUAUCCAACUCGUUGAAUAGUUUAAUGGUAUAUUUCUCGGUAUUCUAGGCUCGGCCUUACAAUAUAACAAACAAGUUUGACCUCAAAUCAGGUAGGAUUACCCGCUGAACUUAAGCAUAUCAAUA
rnacentral:rRNA from 1 species